GCGCAGCAGUCGCGAAAACUCCGCAAUGCACGAAAGUGUGACGGGGCUACCCCGAGUGCCGUCCGCUGAGGAUGGCUUUUCCUCGGUGUAACUAGCCGGGGGAAUAAGGGGAGGGCAAGACUGGUGUCAGCCGCCGCGGUAAUACCAGCUCUCCGAGUGGUAGGGAUGAUUAUUGGGCUUAAAGCGUCCGUAGCCGGCUUAGCAAGUCUCCUGUUAAAUUCAGCGACCUAAUCGUUGAGCCGCGGGAGAUACUACUAGGCUAGGAGGCGGGAGAGGCCGACGGUACUUCCGGGGUAGGGGUGAAAUCCUAUAAUCCCGGGCGGACCACCAGUGGCGAAGGCUGUCGGCUAGAACGCGCUCGACGGUGAGGGACGAAAGCUGGUGGAGUGAACCGGAUUAGAUACCCGGGUA
rnacentral:rRNA from 1 species